GUCUACGGCCAUGCCACCCUGAACAAGCCCAAUCCUGUCUGAUCUCAGAAGCUAAGCAGGGUCAGGCCUGGUUAUUACCUGGAUGGGAGACCACCUAGGGAGACCAGGUGCUGUAGGCA
rnacentral:rRNA from 1 species